UCAAAGUGUAUAUCGUCAUUGCUGCGGUUAAAAAGCUCGUAGUUGGAUCUGCGUCUCAGGACCUGGUCCAUCCAUUGGAUGAGAACUAGGCUCCUAGGCUAAUAUUGCCAGUUUUCCCUAUGUUACCUUGAUCGGUUGCGUAGGGUGGCCAGCAAGUUUACCUUGAAAAAAUUAGAGUGCUCAAUGCGGGCUAAUGCCUGAAUACUCGUGCAUGGAAUAAUGAAAUAGGAUCUCGGUUCUAUUUUGUUGGUUUUCUGAUCUGAGAUAAUGGUUAAGAGGGACGGACGGGGGCAUUCGUAUCGCUGCGUGAGAGGUGAAAUUCUUGGACCGUAGCGAGACGUCCAACUGCGAAAGCAUUUGCCAAGAAUGUCUUCAUUAAUCAAGAACGAAAGUCAGAGGUUCGAAGGCGAUCAGAUACCGCCCUAGUUCUGACCGUAAACGAUACCAACUAGCGUUCCGUCGGCGGUAAAUACGCCUUGACGGGCAGCUUCCCGGAAACGAAAGUUUUUCGGUUCCGGGGGAAGUAUGGUUGCAAAGCUGAAACUUAAAGAAAUUGACGGAAGGGCACCACCAGGAGUGGAGCCUGCGGCUUAAUUUGACUCAACACGGGAAAACUCACCUGGCCCGGACACCGUGAGGAUUGACAGAUUGAGAGCUCUUUCAUGAUUCGGUGGUUGGUGGUGCAUGGCCGUUCUUAGUUGGUGGAGUGAUUUGUCUGGUUUAUUCCGAUAACGAGCGAGACUCUAGCCUACUAAAUAGUUACUGGAUAAUUUUGUCCAGAAAACUUCUUAGAGGGACAAGCGGUGUUUAGCCGCAUGAAGUUGAGCAAUAACAGGUCUGUGAUGCCCUUAGAUGUCCAGGGCUGCACGCGCGCUACACUGGAGGAAUCAGCGUGCUGUAACCAUUAUCGAAAGAUAUUGGUAACCCCUUGAAAAUCCUCCGUGAUCGGGAUCGGGAAUUGCAAUUAUUUCCCUUGAACGAGGAAUUCCUAGUAAGUGUGAGUCAUCAGCUCACGUUGAUUACGUCCCUGCCCUUUGUACACACCGCCCGUCGCUGCCCGGGACUGAGCCGUUUCGAGAAAAGCGGAGACUACUGUUUCAAUACCUUUCGAGGUGGAGAUUCUUUGGUGGAAACCGCUUUAAUCGCAGUGGCUUGAACCGGGCAAAA
rnacentral:rRNA from 1 species